rnacentral:rRNA from 1 species
AGUCGUAACAAGGUUUCCGUAGGUGAACCUGCGGAAGGAUCAUUAAAGAGUAAGGGUGCUCAGCGCCCGACCUCCAACCCUUUGUUGUUAAAACUACCUUGUUGCUUUGGCGGGACCGCUCGGUCUCGAGCCGCUGGGGAUUCGUCCCAGGCGAGCGCCCGCCAGAGUUAAACCAAACUCUUGUUAUUUAACCGGUCGUCUGAGUUAAAAUUUUGAAUAAAUCAAAACUUUCAACAACGGAUCUCUUGGUUCUCGCAUCGAUGAAGAACGCAGCGAAAUGCGAUAAGUAAUGUGAAUUGCAGAAUUCAGUGAAUCAUCGAAUCUUUGAACGCACAUUGCGCCCCUUGGUAUUCCGAGGGGCAUGCCUGUUCGAGCGUCAUUACACCACUCAAGCUAUGCUUGGUAUUGGGUGCCGUCCUUAGUUGGGCGCGCCUUAAAGACCUCGGCGAGGCCUCACCGGCUUUAGGCGUAGUAGAAUUUAUUCGAACGUCUGUCAAAGGAGAGGACUUCUGCCGACUGAAACCUUUAUUUUUCUAGGUUGACCUCGGAUCAGGUAGGGAUACCCGCUGAACUUAAGCAUAUCAAAAAAGUCG